rnacentral:rRNA from 1 species
AAGUCGAACGACAUAGUGGCGAAAGGGCGAGUAAUGCGAUCGAACGUACCCCGAGGUGAGGGAUAGCGUCGGGAAACUGGCGGUAAUACCUCAUGUCUUCCACGGAAGAAAGCUCCGGCGCUUUGGGAGCGGCGAUACUCCUAUCAGGUUGUUGGUGUGGUAAAGGCACACCAAGCCGAAGACGGGUAGCGGGUGUGAGAGCAUGACCCGCAGCAUCGGGACUGAGACACUGCCCGGACUCCUACGGGAGGCUGCAGUAACGAAUCUUCCGCAAUGCGCGAAAGCGUGACGGAGCAAUGCCGCGUGUGGGAUGAAGCGGUUUCGCCGUGUAAACCACUGUCAGGUCCUAGGAAGAACUGACCGGGACCAGAGGAAGGGCCGGCUAAUCUCGUGCCAGCAGCCGCGGUAAGACGAGAGGCCCGAGCGUUAAUCGGAAUCACUGGGCUUAAAGGGUGCGCAGGCGGGCCAGCAAGCAUCGCGUGAAAUCCCACGGCUCAACCGUGGAAUAGCGUGGUGAACUGCUGGUCUUGAGGCAGACAGAGGUCGUCGGAACGUUCGGUGGAGCGGUGAAAUGCGUAGAUAUCGAACGGAACGCCGAAGGAGAAGUCAGACGACUGGGUCUGUCCUGACGCUCAGGCACGAAAGCGUGGGGAUCAAACAGGAUUAGAUACCCUGGUAGUCCACGCCGUAAACGUUGUGCACUAGACUGGUGCGGUUUUGACGCCGUGUCGGUCGUAGAGAAAUUGUUAAGUGCACCGCCUGGGGAGUACGGUCGCAAGGCUAAAACUCAAAGGAAUUGACGGGGGCUCACACAAGCGGUGGAGCAUGUUGCUUAAUUCGAAGCAACGCGAAGAACCUUAUCCGGGUUUGACAUGUAUGGAUUAACUCCGUGAAAGCGGAGCCACGCCUUCGGGUGGAACAUACACAGGUGCUGCAUGGCUGUCGUCAGCUCGUGCUGUGAAGUGUCGGGUUAAGUCCCUUAACGAGCGAAACCCCUGCCGCUAGUUGCCAACAGAUAAUGCUGGGGACUCUAGCGGGACUGCCGGCGUCAAGUCGGAGGAAGGUGGGGACGACGUCAAGUCCGCAUGGCCUUUAUGCCCAGGGCUGCACACGUGCUACAAUGGCGUAUACAGAGCGACGCGAGACCGCGAGGUGGAGCAAAUCGCAAAAAGUACGCCCCAGUUCGGAUUGCAGGCUGCAACUCGCCUGCAUGAAGUUGGAAUCGCUAGUAAUCGGAGAUCAGCACGCUCCGGUGAAUACGUUCCUGAGCCUUGUACACACCGCCCGUCAAGUCAUGGAAGCAGGCAGCGCCCGAAGUCG